rnacentral:rRNA from 1 species
AGAGUUUGAUCAUGGCUCAGAUUGAACGCUGGCGGCAGGCCUAACACAUGCAAGUCGAACGGUAACAGGAAACAGCUUGCUGUUUCGCUGACGAGUGGCGGACGGGUGAGUAAUGUCUGGGAAACUGCCUGAUGGAGGGGGAUAACUACUGGAAACGGUAGCUAAUACCGCAUAACGUCGCAAGACCAAAGAGGGGGACCUUAGGGCCUCUUGCCAUCGGAUGUGCCCAGAUGGGAUUAGCUAGUAGGUGGGGUAACGGCUCACCUAGGCGACGAUCCCUAGCUGGUCUGAGAGGAUGACCAGCCACACUGGAACUGAGACACGGUCCAGGCUCCUACGGGAGGCAGCAGUGGGGAAUAUUGCACAAUGGGCGCAAGCCUGAUGCAGCCAUGCCGCGUGUAUGAAGAAGGCCUUCGGGUUGUAAAGUCUUUUCAGCGGGGAGGAAGGGAGUAAAGUUAAUACCUUUGCUCAUUGACGUUACCCGCAGAAGAAGCACCGGCUAACUCCGUGCCAGCAGCCGCGAUAAUACGGAGGGUGCAAGCGUUAAUCGGAAUUACUGGGCGUAAAGCGCACGCAGGCGGUUUGUUAAGUCAGAUGUGAAAUCCCCGGGCUCAACCUGGGAACUGCAUCUGAUACUGGCAAGCUUGAGUCUCGUAGAGGGGGGUAGAAUUCCAGGUGUAGCGGUGAAAUGCGUAGAGAUCUGGAGGAAUACCGGUGGCGAAGGCGGCCCCCUGGACGAAGACUGACGCUCAGGUGCGAAAGCGUGGGGAGCAAACAGGAUUAGAUACCCUGGUAGUCCA